rnacentral:tRNA from 1 species
GGCUCGAUAGCUUAGUUGGCAAAGCGCUCGUCUAGCAUACAAGAGUCCUGGGUUCGAAUCCCAACCGAGCAA